rnacentral:rRNA from 1 species
UUCGAGUGGCGGACGGGUGAGUAACGCGUGGGUAACCUGCCUUACACAGGGGGAUAACACCUGGAAACAGGUGCUAAUACCGCAUAAGCGCACAGGGCCGCAUGGCCCGGUGUGAAAAACUCCGGUGGUGUAAGAUGGACCCGCGUCUGAUUAGCUUGUUGGCGGGGUAGAGGCCCACCAAGGCGACGAUCAGUAGCCGGCCUGAGAGGGUGAACGGCCACAUUGGGACUGAGACACGGCCCAAACUCCUACGGGAGGCAGCAG